rnacentral:rRNA from 1 species
CUACGGGAGGCAGCAGCAAGGAAUUUUCGGCAAUGGGCGCAAGCCUGACCCAGCAACGCCGCGUGGAGGAAGACGGCCUUCGGGUUGUAAACUCCUUUUACGGGGGAAGAGGAAGGACGGUACCCCGAGAAUAAGUCACGGCUAACUACGUGCCAGCAGCCGCGGUAAUACGUAGGUGACAAGCGUUAUCCGGAAUUACUGGGCGUAAAGCGCACGCAGGCGGCGCGUUAAGUCUGACGUGAAAUCUCCCGGCUUAACUGGGAGGGGUCGUUGGAGACUGGCGUGCUUGAGGCGGUGAGAGGGGUGUAGAAUUCCCGGUGUAGUGGUGGAAUGCGUAGAUAUCGGGAGGAAUACCAGUGGCGAAAGCGGCACCCUGGCACUAGCCUGACGCUCAUGUGCGAAGGCGUGGGGAGCGAACGGGAUUAGAUACCCCAGUAGUCC